UUGACCUCGGAUCAGGUAAGGAACCAAGC
rnacentral:rRNA from 1 species